AAGAUAUUAUUUUAUAAUAAGAAUAAGCUUCUAACUUAAUCUAUAGCAGUGAAACUCUGUUAAUAUCUUU
rnacentral:tRNA from 1 species